rnacentral:rRNA from 1 species
AUUGAACGCUGGCGGCAGGCCUAACACAUGCAAGUCGAACGGUAACACGAAGAGGCUUUCUUCUUUCCUGUCGCGUGUCGCAGGCGUGUGAGAUGUCUAUCAGACUCCCUUUUGUCGGGGGAUAACUCGUGGAAACGGUUGCGAAUACCGCGUAUCGUCCCUAGAGCAGAGAGCAGGAGCUUUGCGCAUCUUGCCCGCUUAUAUGCGCAGAUGUGGGAUUAGCUAGUGGGUGGGGUAAAGGCACACCAAGGCGACGAUCCCUAGCUGGUCUGAGAGGAUGACCAGCCACACUGGAACUGAGACACGGUCCAGACUCCUACGGGAGGCAGCAGUGGGGAAUAUUGGACAAUGGGCGCAAGCCUGAUGCAGCCAUACCGCGUGGAUGAAGAAGGCCUUCGGGUUGUAAAGUCCUUUUGUCGGGAAGGAAGAGCGUAAAGUUAAUACCUCUCCUCAUUGACGUUACCCGAAGAAGAAGCACCGGCUAACUCCGUG